rnacentral:tRNA from 1 species
AAUUUUGGACUCAAACACAGAGAUUUUAAACUGUAAAUUUAAGAAAGCAAGCAUGAUUGCCCAGAUUU